UACGUAGGGGGCGAGCGUUGUCCGGAGUACUGGGCGUAAAGCGCACGCAGGCGGUCUGCUAAGUUUGGAGUGACAGUUGGUGGCUUAACUGCCAAAGUGCUUCGAAAACUGACAGACUUGAGGGCUUCAGAGGGACACGGAAUUCCGGGUGGAGUGGUGAAAUGCGUAGAGAUCCGGAGGAACACCAAAGGCGAAGGCAGUGUCCUGGGGAGUACC
rnacentral:rRNA from 1 species